AUUCCUGGACUGUACUGGACAGCAAUUCAUUUCAAAAUGUUGCAGUUUUUCUGGAUUCUCUGGGCAGUUCUUGCCAUGGGCAUGACAAAACCUUUACCUGAUGUUUUCUCUUACUCACCUGCUGUUGGGGAAGGCAGUGGGACUGAAUUUUCCACUGCAAGUGAGGGUCGCAUCACUGGUAUCAGAAUUUGGGAAUACAGUAAUAACUAUAUCUCUGGGCUCCAGCUGAUGUACGAGAGUAACUGGACAGCAAUGGUUGGUGUAAAUUAUGGCAAUCUAAUGGAGAUGAAACUCUAUGACAAAGAAUCUAUUAUUCAGAUCUCUGGAAAGUAUGACUCUAGUUACAUUUAUGAGCUUGUGUUUGUCACCAAUCAUGGGCGCUUCUUUCAAGUGGGACAGUGUAGAGGGGUCUCAUUCAACUUCUUUCCAACCCAGAAAGGAAGUGAGCUGCGUUUCCUCAGCGGUCGACAGAAUGGAUGGGGCAUCACCUCUAUUGGGGCUCAUUGGGCCUUGGUUCGUAACUAUGCCACAUUUGUGAAAAUGAUUUACUAAUAUUAUAGCCUUGAAAUUAAUUGGUUAAUUUUAUCUUUUCUAAUUCUACACUAAUGCAACUUUACUAUAAUGUACAGAUAAAAGAUGAAUCAUGUACUUGAAUAUCUGAUCAUUUGAUUGUUUAACCUGUACUAUGUUCAAUGAGUAUGCUUAUAUGAAGGAAGUUUGUUUCUUUCAGUAAAUUGUUUUUUAAUAAAAAGGUAUAAAUAAACAACAA